rnacentral:rRNA from 1 species
AUUGAACGCUGGCGGCAGGCUUAACACAUGCAAGUCGAACGAGUGGCGGACGGGUGAGUAAUGCCUGGGACUCUAGCUUAUGGAGGGGGAUAACUACGGGAAACUGUAGCUAAUACCGCGUACCAUAGGAUGAGCCCAAUUGGGAUUAGUUAGUUGGUGAGGUAAAGGGUCACCAAGCCGACGAGCUCUAGCUGGUCUGAGAGGAUGACCAGACAAACUGGGAGUGAGACACGGCCCAGACUCCUACGGGAGGCAGGAGUGGGGAAUAUUGCGCGAGGGGGGCAACCCGGACGCAGCCAUGCCGCGUGAAUGAAGAAAGCCUUCGGGUUGUAAAGUUCGUUCAGAGGGGAGGCGUUACCCGCAGAAGAAGCACAGGCUAACUCCGUGCCAGCAGCCGCGGUAAUAC